CUCUUAUCUUGAGCGGUGGAGGGACUGGCCCUGUGAAACCGCGGCAACCUUCAACUAUUUUAAUAGUUGAAAGGUGCCAAUUCCUGCAAAGUGAAAACUUUGACAGAUGAGAG
rfam:Oceanobacillus picturae, S1, WGS project CCAX01000000 data, contig: 000001